UGGCUGCCAUGUGUGACCAGCACUACAUGGAGUGGUACAACCGGCACUCGCACCCGAGGUUGAUCAGAGACGUCCACCACGGCGACGACGCCGAUGAUGAUGAUGUGCCACCGCCCACUGCCGUGGAUGCGUGGAUGGGAAAGAUGACGCAGUUGGGACACAGACUUUUUGAGGAGAGGGACAACAUGACGACUGCAACAGGCAGAGCUGUUAUUGAUGAACUGGAACGGGCCCUUGAGCAGUGGCAGUGGGCGUCACAGAGAGAUUAUUGAUAUGUCGGCAGUGCAUUUAUAUAACAUUUUCCUAGUUGUUUGUAAAAGUUAACAUUAUCUAUUCUUAUAAUUAUUAUUUAAAGUUCUUAGAAUUUGACAUUAUAUUUUUAGUUUUUAUAAUUAUUAUUUUAAGUUGUAAUUAGUGGGCAUACGAAAAUUAAAUACAAGUUCACAUAUAAAUGGGAAAACUAAAUACGAAAAUUAGAAUCCGAAAAUUA